rnacentral:rRNA from 1 species
ACCACCCUUUAAUGUUUGAUGUUCUAACGUUGGCCCCUGACCGGGGUUGCGGACAGUGUCUGGUGGGUAGUUUGACUGGGGCGGUCUCCUCCCAAAGCGUAACGGAGGAGCACGAAGGUUAGCUAAUCCUGGUCGGACAUCAGGAGGUUAGUGCAAUGGCAUAAGCUAGCUUGACUGCGAGCGUGACGGCGCGAGCAGGUGCGAAAGCAGGUCAUAGUGAUCCGGUGGUUCUGAAUGGAAGGGCCAUCGCUCAACGGAUAAAAGGUACUCCGGGGAUAACAGGCUGAUACCGCCCAAGAGUUCAUAUCGACGGCGGUGUUUGGCACCUCGAUGUCGGCUCAUCACAUCCUGGGGCUGAAGUAGGUCCCAAGGGUAUGGCUGUUCGCCAUUUAAAGUGGUACGCGAGCUGGGUUUAGAACGUCGUGAGACAGUUCGGUCCCUAUCUGCCGUGGGCGCUGGAGAAUUGAGGGGGGCUGCUCCUAGUACGAGAGGACCGGAGUGGACGCAUCACUGGUGUUCGGGUUGUCAUGCCAAUGGCACUGCCCGGUAGCUAAAUGCGGAAGAGAUAAGUGCUGAAAGCAUCUAAGCACGAAACUUGCCCCGAGAUGAGUUCUCCCUGAGACUUUAAGUCUCCUGAAGGAACGUUGAAGACGACGACGUUGAUAGGCCGGGUGUGUAAGCGCAGCGAUGCGUUGAGCUAACCGGUACUAAUGAACCGUGAGGCUUAACCUU